rnacentral:rRNA from 1 species
AUCGAACGCUGGCGGCAGGCUUAACACAUGCAAGUCGAGCGGAGCGGCGGACGGGCGAGUAAUGCUUAGGAAUCUGCCCACUAGUGGGGGACAACAUCUCGAAAGGGAUGCUAAUACCGCAUAAUAAUAGAUGAGCCUAAGUCGGAUUAGCUAGUUGGUGGGGUAAAGGCCUACCAAGGCGACGAUCUGUAGCGGGUCUGAGAGGAGGGUCCGCCAAACUUGGGAUGGAGAACGGGCCAGGAUCCUACGGGGAGCAGCAAUGGUGGAUAUUGGGCAAUGGGAGGAAACCUGAUCCAGCCAUGCCUCGGGGGUGAAGAAGGCCUUAUGGUUGUAAAGCACUUUAAGCUAGGAGGCGUUACUCACAGAGUAAGCAACGGCUAACUCUGUGCCAGCAGCCGCGGUAAUUC